CACGUAGGCGGACUGGAAAGUCAGAGGUGAAAUCCCCGCGCUUAACGUGGGCAUUGCAUUUGAAACUAUGUAGCUAGAGUUCUGUAGAGGGGGGUAGAAUUCCAGGUGUAGCGGUGAAAUGCGUAGAGAUCUGGAGGAAUACCGAUUGCGAAGGCAGCCCCCUGGACAGUGACUGACGCUCAUAUGCGAAAGCGUGGGGAUCAAACAGGAUUAGAUACCCUCGUA
rnacentral:rRNA from 1 species